AUUGAACGCUGGCGGCAGGCUUAACACAUGCAAGUCGAGCGGAGAUGAGGUGCUUGCACCUUAUCUUAGCGGCGGACGGGUGAGUAAUGCUUAGGAAUCUGCCUAUUAGUGGGGGACAACAUUCCGAAAGGAAUGCUAAUACCGCAUACGCCCUACGGGGGAAAGCAGGGGAUCUUCGGACCUUGCGCUAAUAGAUGAGCCUAAGUCGGAUUAGCUAGUUGGUGGGGUAAAGGCCUACCAAGGCGACGAUCUGUAGCGGGUCUGAGAGGAUGAUCCGCCACACUGGGACUGAGACACGGCCCAGACCCCUACGGGAGGCAGCAGUGGGGAAUAUUGGACAAUGGGCGGAAGCCUGAUCCAGCCAUGCCGCGUGUGUGAAGAAGGCCUUUUGGUUGUAAAGCACUUAAGCGAGGAGGAGGCUACCUGGAUUAAUACUCUAGGAUAGUGGACGUUACUCGCAGAAUAAGCACCGGCUAACUCUGUGCCAGCCGCCGCGGUAAAAC
rnacentral:rRNA from 1 species